UUCUGGCUCAGGAUGAACGCUGGCGGCGCGCCUAACACAUGGCAAGGUCGAACGGUGAAGUCCCGUCGGGGGCGGAUCAGUGGCGGACGGGGUGAGUAACGCGUGAGUAACCUGCCCUUACGAGCGGAAUAACGUCCGGAAACAGACGCUAAUACCGCAUAACACGUGCUUUCGGCAUCGGAGGCACGUCAAAGAUUUAUCGCGUAAGGAUGGACUCGCGUCCCAUUAGAUAGUUGGCGGGGCAACGGCCCACCAAGUCAGCGAUGGGUAGCCGGACUGAGAGGUUGAACGGCCACAUUGGAACUGAGAGACGGUCCAGACUCCUACGGGAGGCAGCAGUGGGGAAUAUUGGGCAAUGGGCGAAAGCCUGACCCAGCGACGCCGCGUGAGCGAAGAAGGUCUUCGGAUUGUAAAGCUCUGUUGACAGGGACGAAAAAAUGACGGUACCUGUCGAGGAAGCCACGGCUAACUACGUGCCAGCCGCUGC
rnacentral:rRNA from 1 species